GGCGGCGUGCCUAAUACAUGCAAGUCGAGCGAACGGACGAGAAGCUUGCUUCUCUGAUGUUAGCGGCGGACGGGUGAGUAACACGUGGAUAACCUACCUAUAAGACUGGGAUAACUUCGGGAAACCGGAGCUAAUACCGGAUAAUAUUUUGAACCGCAUGGUUCAAAAGUGAAAGACGGUCUUGCUGUCACUUAUAGAUGGAUCCGCGCUGCAUUAGCUAGUUGGUAAGGUAACGGCUUACCAAGGCAACGAUGCAUAGCCGACCUGAGAGGGUGAUCGGCCACACUGGAACUGAGACACGGUCCAGACUCCUACGGGAGGCAGCAGUAGGGAAUCUUCCGCAAUGGGCGAAAGCCUGACGGAGCAACGCCGCGUGAGUGAUGAAGGUCUUCGGAUCGUAAAACUCUGUUAUUAGGGAAGAACAUAUGUGUAAGUAACUGUGCACAUCUUGACGGUACCUAAUCAGAAAGCCACGGCUAACUACGUGCCAGCAGCCGCGGUAAUACGUAGGUGGCAAGCGUUAUCCGGAAUUAUUGGGCGUAAAGCGCGCGUAGGCGGUUUUUUAAGUCUGAUGUGAAAGCCCACGGCUCAACCGUGGAGGGUCAUUGGAAACUGGAAAACUUGAGUGCAGAAGAGGAAAGUGGAAUUCCAUGUGUAGCGGUGAAAUGCGCAGAGAUAUGGAGGAACACCAGUGGCGAAGGCGACUUUCUGGUCUGUAACUGACGCUGAUGUGCGAAAGCGUGGGGAUCAAACAGGAUUAGAUACCCUGGUAGUCCACGCCGUAAACGAUGAGUGCUAAGUGUUAGGGGGUUUCCGCCCCUUAGUGCUGCAGCUAACGCAUAAGCACUCCGCCUGG
rnacentral:rRNA from 2 species